UCGUAGGUGAACCUGCGGAAGGAUCAU
rnacentral:rRNA from 2 species